UACGUAGGGGGCAAGCGUUGUCCGGAUUUAUUGGGCGUAAAGAGCGUGUAGGCGGCCACACAGGUCCGCUGUGAAAACUCGAGGCUCAACCUCGAGCUGUCGGUGGAAACCGUGUGGCUAGAGUCCGGAAGAGGAGAGUGGAAUUCCCGGUGUAGCGGUGAAAUGCGCAGAUAUCAGGAGGAACACCGGUGGCGAAGGCGGGUCUCUGGGCCGAUACUGACGCUGAGGAGCGAAAGCGUGGGGAGCGAACAGG
rnacentral:rRNA from 1 species